CAGCCGCCACGGGAAUACGUAGGGUGCGAGCGUUAAUCGGAAUUACUGGGCGUAAAGCGUGCGCAGGCGGUUCGUUAAGACAGAUGUGAAAUCCCCGGGCUUAACCUGGGAACUGCAUUUGUGACUGGCGAGCUAGAGUAUGGCAGAGGGGGGUAGAAUUCCACGUGUAGCAGUGAAAUGCGUAGAGAUGUGGAGGAAUACCGAUGGCGAAGGCAGCCCCCUGGGCCAAUACUGACGCUCAUGCACGAAAGCGUGGGGAGCAAACAGGAUUAGAGACCCCUGUAGUCCCUGUCUCUUAUAC
rnacentral:rRNA from 1 species